UACGACUACAUAUCAGGCAUAUCAAUAAGCGGAGGAAAAGAAACUAACAAGGAUUCCCUCAGUAACGGCGAGUGAAGCGGGAAGAGCUCAAAUUUGAAAUCUUCAAGGUUCUACCUUGACGAAUUGUAGUUUAAAGAAGUGUUUUCUGUUGGAGUUUUGGUAAAAGUUCUUUGGAAUAGGACAUCAUAGAGGGUGAGAAUCCCGUAUUUGACCAUUAUUUCCAGCUUUGUGAUACACUUUCAAAGAGUCGGAUUGUUUGGGAAUGCAGUCCAAAAUGGGUGGUAAAUUUCAUCUAAAGCUAAAUAUUGGCGAGAGACCGAUAGCGAACAAGUACCGUGAGGGAAAGAUGAAAAGAACUUUGAAAAGAGAGUUAAACAGUACGUGAAAUUGUCAAAAGGGAAGCGUUUGACACCAGUGUUGUUUUCUCGAAAAUCAAUUAAAAAGAGUUGGAUUUUGUGUUGUAUUGACCUUAACAGCUUGCUUCACUCUUUUCCAGCUUUUUUUAAUGCACUUUUCGUUUAACAAGUCAACAUCAGUUUCUUUUGUUGUAAAAGGGUCAUUGGAAGGUGGCUUUCUCUUCGGAGAAAGUGUUUAUAGCCUUUGAUCUCUGCAAUCGGAGAGACUGAGGGUCUGCAGCGUAGAUCCUUCGGGGUUAGAUACAUUUGUGCUAAGCUACAGCUUUUCAUAGACAACUUGUUGACUAUGUUUAGUCUUGUGACUUACCCGCUUAUGCUAUUUUACCUACGCUUAGGAUGUUGAGCGCAUGUCUCUCUCU
rnacentral:rRNA from 1 species